UACGUAGGUGGCAAGCGUUGUCCGGAUUUAUUGGGUUUAAAGGGUGCGUAGGCGGCUUUGUAAGUCAGUGGUGAAAUACGGCAGCUCAACUGUCGAGGUGCCAUUGAUACUGCAGAGCUAGAGUACUGAUGAGGUAGGCGGAAUGGACGGUGUAGCGGUGAAAUGCUUAGAUAUGUGGAGGAACACCAGUGGCGAAGGCGACUUUCUGGGCUGUAACUGACGCUGAGGCGCGAAAGCGUGGGGAGCAAACAGG
rnacentral:rRNA from 1 species